AUGACACUGUGAUGUGGAAAGAGAAGAUGAUAGCAUUAAAUGUCCCAACAAGGCAAUUCGGGAUUGAAUCUGGUCUGCUGAGACACCCAGCAUCAAGUUUCUGGCCUAAGACUCCGAGAUUGAUGGUCCUGUGCGCAAAUGAAAGAAGAAGAGUAACGAUAACAGAAAAAUCCCAGGAUGCUCUAAAUUCAGUGUUAGGGGUUAAAGAAUGGAGAGUGAAAAGGAGCAAGGUGAUUCAACCAGCAGGUGUUGUGAAACUGAAGGAUGGGUCCACAUUCCUUAAAUGUAACUUUGAUCUAAGUUCUAAUGUUUGGAGUUGUGUUGAAUCUACACACUGUUAACAGCAAUCCAGAAUUAUCAAGUAUUUCUUGUCUGUGGGUUUUUGUACCUUUGAGUAUUCUCAGUUUGAUAUUUCCUCUUAUCUAUAGCCAAUAACAGUAUCUUAGGAUAUCUUUCUUAAACUCAAAACUGCUCUUAGCUCUUGGCCUUGUAAACAUUUUUUUCUGCAAGGUAGAUUGGCGAAAGUCAUGGAAACUCAUCCUGAGACCUGGGCCUUCUUUUACAAGUCAGCAUCUAUAAUAACUCUCUUGACUUAAGCAAUUCCUAGGCCUCAGAAACUUUGGUGGAACUAUCACAAUGCAAUAUCAAGGCCCAUGUUCUAUGCAAGAUGUAAUGUGUUUGAUAAGUGGGAAGACUUAUGUGAAAUAAGUCAGUCACAGAAAGACAAAUUCUAUAUAAUUUCAUGUAUAUAAGAUAUCUUACAUGGUCAUUUAUAGAAACAAAUAGACUGGUGCUUUCAAGAGUGGAAUGGAAUCUGAUUAAUUGAUGCUCAGUAAAUACAAAGUUCUACAGAUCCUUUUAUUUUGUCCUACCUAUAAAUAGCAUAAAUACUCAUAAUAGUGUUGUAUAAUCAAAGUAUAUUACGAACAAAUUUUAUAUUACACACUCAAUAUAAUAAUUUUUAAUGUUAUCUAUUAAUAGAAAGGGAAUACGUUACUGAAAAUAUGCAAAAAAGUGCUUUUCUUGGUUCUGCCUUCAACCUAGUCACAAACAAGACCAUACCUUGAAAGGCCCCCUCCUCACUUUCAAUUUCAUGACCCUUUUCAUCAAUUGUUUUAUACACUCCUAUGUGUAUGCCUGGGGGAUGGGUCCACCCACUCAUUUUCAAAUUUUUAACCCAGAAUGACUCCUGGAUAAAGAAAAUAUGGGGGCAAAUUAUGUAGCAGAGAGUGAAGGAAAGGCCAUCCAGAGACUGCCCCACCUGGGGAUCUAUACCAUAUACAGUCACCAAACACAGACACUAUUGUGAAUGCCAAGAAUUGCAUGCUGACAGGAGCCUGAUAAGGCUGUCUCCUGAGAGGCUCUGUUAGAGCCUGACAAAUACAGAGGCAAAUGUUCACAGCAAACCAUUGAAUGCAACACAGAGACACCAAUGGAGGAGUUAAAGGAAAGACUGAAGGAGCUGAAGGGGUUUGUAACCCCUACAUAAGAACAACAAUAUCAACCAAGCUGACCCUCGAGAGCUCCCAGGGACUAAACCACCAACCAAAGACUAUACAUGAAGAGACCCAUGGCUCCAGCUGCGUAUAAAGCAGAGGAUGGCAUUUUUUGGCAUGAAGACUUGAUUCCUCAGUAUAGGGGAAUUCCAGGGCGGUGAGGGGGGA
rnacentral:lncRNA from 1 species